rnacentral:rRNA from 1 species
GAUGAACGCUGGCGGCGUGCUUAACACAUGCAAGUCGAACGGAAAGGCUCCUGCUUGCAGGGGUACUCGAGUGGCGAACGGGUGAGUAACACGUGGGUGAUCUGCCCUGCACUUCGGGAUAAGCCUGGGAAACUGGGUCUAAUACCGGAUAGGACGAUGGUUUGGAUGCCAUUGUGGAAAGUUUUUCGGUGUGGGAUGAGCUCGCGGCCUAUCAGCUUGUUGGUGGGGUAAUGGCCUACCAAGGCGUCGACGGGUAGCCGGCCUGAGAGGGUGUACGGCCACAUUGGGACUGAGAUACGGCCCAGACUCCUACGGGAGGCAGCAGUGGGGAAUAUUGCACAAUGGGCGCAAGCCUGAUGCAGCGACGCCGCGUGGGGGAUGACGGCCUUCGGGUUGUAAACUCCUUUCGCUAGGGACGAAGCGUUUUGUGACGGUACCUGGAGAAGAAGCACCGGCUAACUA